GCUACACCUACAACAACACCAGCAUGUCACCCACAUCAACUAAAACCACUAUGGCAACCGUAAACCACGCGGCUGUCCUCACCACCCAUACAUCUACAACCCAAGCAUGUCAGCAUCAUCACCCUAGCCAACAACACCUUACAUUUACACCUAUACACCCACUUGCUUCACCUACAACAAAGUCGGCAAGAGACCCACAUCGGUUAACAUCACCUACGUCAACUUCACCUUAAAAAUAUCCUCAUAGGCCCACCUACAUCACCUUAAUCAACAACACCUUACAUAUUACACACAUACAUCGACUUCCCACACCAAUAACAACGCCAGUAUGUCACCUACAUCACCCUAAGCAACAACACCUCAUACGCCUUCUUUCACUGUCUUACAACAACGCUAACACGCAACUAGACACAUUAUCCAUGCCAACUACCAAAUCCAUCGUUAGAUGCGCGUCCUGUAUUUGCAUGAACUUCGUGGAUUGAUUAAUCCCCUUGACUUACAUUCUUUGCUUGGUGUAAGACUUGGUGAUAUCGUGUGAGCUGCGUGGAAUGAUCGGCUCGUGGGUCCUGCAAAGAUAACGGCGGGGAUAAGUGGAAAUCGAAUUCAUAUAGGAAGGCUAGCCCAAUGAUUGACAGCUCCUUACGCAGGUGGGAGGGAGUCGAUGUCUUUGAUCUCCUUUGUCGAGAGCAGAGUGACGCCGUCCACGACGUAGAAGUGUUCUUUACCAAAUAAGAACAAGCCUUCAGCGGUAUCUAACCCCUGGACACGCGCACAACGGUACAUGGAGCGGAUCCUCUCGCCAGCCUCGAGAAGCUUCACGAUUGUUUGAUUCUCAACCUUUAGAAAUAGAAACAAAACAUGACAAUGGACUUUGCUUCAAAGAUGACUUAGAAGUGCUCGACAGGGCAAAUACGUCUGUAUGUUGUUUUCUGUUUUCAUGUUACAACAAGACAGGUAAAGUUGGUAGUAUUUUUCGCCCAAGAUUGAUCCUUUUUUUCUCGACUAGAUAUUUUGUAAGUAUUGGAUUGAUCAAUUGAAAAAGCGAGACUCAGCACUUUUAAGCAGGCAACUGACCACGUGAUAAGACAUGGCUAAGCACUCAAAAUUUUAAGCAUGUUACUGUAAACAUGUAUCAUAGAACAACUACGCACUCACUAUUGAUCACGUGAAUUACAACUUGAAGACGUACCUCAGAUUCCUCGUUUGCCUCAGACGUGAAAUAUCCCGGGUCGGUGGAAAUAGCGCGAAGAGGGGCAGCUUUCUUGUUCACUAGUGCUGCAUCGAGAUAAGAAAAGAUCGUGUUAUAUUUACCCAAGUUUUUCAAGUUAACGCCUGCUCCAGUCGUUGGAUUUUCAAUACAAACUGUGUAGUAUAGUUAGUACAUCAAUCCAGCAUCGCUUGUAACGCUAAGCUCGGUACAGUUAGUACAUCAAUCCAGCAUCGCUUGUAACGCUAAGCUCGGUUUACCAAAUGACAAAGAAAACGAUGGCGACCUGCUUCACAACAUAAUACCAUAAUCACCGAGAAAAUGAACUCACAACUACGCCUGCGGCGUCGGCACUUCACAAAUCACCCAUCGGUUGCCGGGACAUUUAAUCGCUAAAUUCCCCUCGUACCAUACUAUAACUUAUAAAAAUAUGUUAUUCAAACGACGCCAGCAAAGCCGGGCGCCUGUGAUGAUGGCUGUUUUGGCAGCCGCGCUGGCUCUAGUUGAGAGAAGCUUUAUAAACUUUGUUAACAUGAUUGGACGAGCCACAAGACUAAACGUAAAACACACUCGUGCUGUACUUAAAAUAAACGCAAACCACUUGUACGAGAAAAGCUUCAGUAUGUGGUCAGAAAAUUUCGAAAAUACGCACAUUCUACACUGAUGCCCUGGCCAAUAAAAACGCAAUUUAACCCAA